rnacentral:rRNA from 1 species
GACAGAGGGUGCAAGCGUUGCUCGGAAUUACUGGGCGUAAAGGGCGCGUAGGCGGGAUGGCAAGUCGGUUGUGAAAUCCCUCGGCUCAACCGAGGAACGUCGAUCGAUACUGCUGUUCUUGAGGAUUGCAGAGGAGACUGGAAUUCCCGGUGUAGCGGUGAAAUGUGUAGAGAUCGGGAGGAACACCGGUGGCGAAGGCGGGUCUCUGGGCAAUUCCUGACGCUGAGGCGCGAAAGCGUGGGGAGCAAACGGG